AGGCAGCGAGGGGCUGUGCGUGUGCCUACGCGGCUGGAGAAGUGAGCCACCCCCAGGGGGAUGGGGAGCCCCAGGACCCCAGACACGUGGGGGUAAAGUCAAGGAGAUUCACCCACGGGAAACUCACCCACGGGCUCAUGCACGUUCAGGAGUGGGGUGCUGACAUCCUGCCGGCUUCCUGGGGCUGGUGCUCCUGUUAGAAGGAAACUCUAGGGGAGAAAGGCCAAGCUACCAUAAUUGUUAUCUUCACCACCAUCAUCACCAUCACCAUCACCAUCCAAGAAGGAAUGAUGAGCAGUGCAGGUCAAGGCGCUGACUAAGGAGCCAGGGAAUCCCUCUGUGGGCCCCCCCAGGGAGCAGAGGAGACCCCUGGUGACAUAACCCCCACGUGGCUCCUUUGACCUGGCUUGAUGCUUUUGUGUCAGCACACA